AGGUGUCAGCGGUCUCUUAAAGUCCGCCUGUCUCCAGACUUUGGUAGGUGUGGACGACGGGUUCGAAGCUGUUAAACUCGCUCAUUGCGGAAACCACGACCUUGACUUUUAGCGCAAUGCAUCUCUGCCCCGCGCUCGAAAUUUUGCAUGCAUCGACAUCAGCGCCAGCCCAGGAGCGCAUGGCGGUGCUGGGAUGUGAAUGUCGACUUCGAAUCGGGGCAAAAGCACCCGACGUGAAUCAAUGUCGAGCUCGGUGCGGCUAAUGCCCCGACCGGGAGCGCUUUUCUCGUUUUUGCCAGGGAGAGAGCAUGUGAUGACAUCGCGUAGCUCUGUCUCUCAACUGGGGCCCCCCCGGUGUCCUUCAGACUCGCACUCAAGUACAGCUCACAGAGAUGUGGUCUCCAGGGCAACAUAGAGAUUUAGGAGAUUCAAACAGAAAGAACUUUAUUGACAAAAGCCUCAGCUGGCGCCAAUCAUGAGCAAGGAUACUUGAGGGAAAAUUCACGUACCAUCCUUGUCUAAGCAGUGGAUUCUGCGUUCCCUGUUGGGUCAUACAAUUCUGAAAAUCUUUUGUGAAAG